rnacentral:rRNA from 1 species
CUCGNAGCGGCAACGGGAAAGUAGCUUGCUACUUUUGCCGGCGAGCGGCGGACGGGUGAGUAAUGCCUGGGGAUCUGCCCAGUCGAGGGGGAUAACAGUUGGAAACGACUGCUAAUACCGCAUACGCCCUACGGGGGAAAGGAGGGGACCUUCGGGCCUUUCGCGAUUGGAUGAACCCAGGUGGGAUUAGCUAGUUGGUGGGGUAAUGGCUCACCAAGGCGACGAUCCCUAGCUGGUCUGAGAGGAUGAUCAGCCACACUGGAACUGAGACACGGUCCAGACUCCUACGGGAGGCAGCAGUGGGGAAUAUUGCACAAUGGGGGAAACCCUGAUGCAGCCAUGCCGCGUGUGUGAAGAAGGCCUUCGGGUUGUAAAGCACUUUCAG